AGUAGAAAUUAUAUGCGAAAAAGUCCAUUAAAGAUCACUCUUCUCCAUUCUCAAACACAUCGUCCUCUUCUUCCCCCAAAUUGAGGAGAGAGAAACCCUAGGCGAUGGCAAUGGCCAGCUUGGCGAGGCGCAAAGCCUGCAAUCUCCUGUGCCCUAACUCAAAGAUCCUGAUAUGCAGAAGCAGAUCGAGAAUACCCUUUCCAUUGGACACAUAUCUUAUGAAGUUCAUUUAUCUGCCUAAUAUCCAGACAUAUGGGAGCAAGCUGUUUUGGCAAUUAAGAGGGAAGGCUACAGUAUAAAGUGCAAUGGCCCGCGUGGAGUUGUUGUUGCAGAGAAGUUCCAAUCAACUACUACUAUUACAAUUCCUUAUGGCCAUCCCAUGGAGUUCUCAAUUCAAUGUGCUAAUGGUGAUGAGUAUCUCUUAAGGGAAAAAGAUAGUAGCUACUAGCUGGUUUCGGGAUACCAUUGUGCUUACUAUGAGAUUAUUCAAGAAGAUGGCAAUAGAAAAGAGGAAAGGGAGAAAAAAGGGCCUCUUCUUCAAAUCCUAGUCCUUGCCAUUACGAAGGAUGGUGAUGUUUUCCUUGUUGCUUAAUCCAUGGACUGACUGGAUCUGCUGAUAGUUGUCUGAGCUCAUUCAAAUUGAUUGCAUGAUUUAUCAUUUGUGAAGGGGUCGGGAUAAACUUGCCUAAUGCCUCAUUGUAUUAUUAGUAGUGCAACGACACGAUUUUAACUCGAAUGGUUUCCAGAUUAUGUUUCUUUUCUUC